rnacentral:rRNA from 1 species
GUGCCAGCAGCCGCGGUAAGACAGAGGAUGCAAGCGUUAUCCGGAAUUACUGGGCGUAAAGGGCGUCUAGGCGGUUCGGUAAGUCGUUUGUGAAAUCCCUUGGCUCAACCAAGGAGGGUCUUGCGAUACUGCCGGGCUUGGGUGCAGGAGAGGAGAGUGGAACUCACAGAGUAGCGGUGGAAUGCGUAGAUACUGUGAGGUACCCCGAUGGCGAAGGCAACUCUCUGGCUUGCCACCGACGCUGAAGCGCGAAAGCGUGGGGAGCAAAGGGGAUUAGAUACCCCCGUAGUCCACGCCCUAAACAAUGUUCACUUGGUGUCGGCCGCUUAUACUGGUCGGUGCCGAAGCUAACGCGUUAAGUGAACCGCCUGAGGAGUACGGCCGCAAGGCUAAAACUCAAGAGAAUUGACGGGUCCCUGCACAAGCGGUGGAGCACGUGGUUUAAUUCGAUGAUAAACGAAGGACCUCACCCAGGCUUGACAUACUAGUGGUAGGAACCUGAAAGGGGGACGACUCUGCCUUCGGGUAGAGAGCUAGUACAGGUGAUGCAUGGCUGUCGUCAGCUCGUGUCGUGGGAUGUUGGGUUCAGUCCCGAAACGAGCGCAACCCUUGUCGUUAGUUGCCAGCGGGUAAUGCCGGGGACUCUAACGAGACUGCUGGUGAAUAGCCGGAGGAAGGCGGGGAUGACGUCAAGUCAUCAUGGCCCUUACGUCCUGGGCUGCAAACGUCCUACAAUGGCCGGUACAGAGGGAUGCCAACCCGCGAGGGGGAGCAGAUCCCGCAAAGCCGGCCUCAGUUCGGAUUGUAGGCUGCAAUUCGCCUACAUGAAGCUGGAAUCGCUAGUAAUCGCGGAUCAGCUAUGCCGCGGUGAAUGUGUUCCUGAGCCUUGUACACACCGCCCGUCAAGCCAUGGAAGUCGGGAGUACCUUAAGUCGCUGACCGAACCGCAAGGACGGAGGCGCCCAAGGUA